CCGGCGAACGGGUGCGUAACACGUGAGCAACCUGCCGCGCUCAGGGGGAUAGCCGGCCCAACGGCCGGGUAAUACCGCAUACGCUCGAGGUCUCACCUGGGACUUCGAGGAAACCUCCGGGGGAGCGCGAGGGGCUCGCGGCCUAUCAGCUAGUUGGUGGGGUCACGGCUUACCAAGGCGACGACGGGUAGCUGGUCUGAGAGGAUGGCCAGCCACAUUGGGACUGAGAGACGGCCCAG
rnacentral:rRNA from 1 species